CAUCUGGUGCCCUUGAAGAUAAGUACACAAAGGGCCUUUUCCAAACUAGCUCCCACACCCUCUCCCUACCUACUUCCACUCCAUUUGCAUGUUCAUGUGGAGGGUCUGCCAUAUUAAGUGUCACCCCAAACCAACUAGCGGGGAGUGGAAGUGGGUUAUAAAUUCCUCCAACAGUGAGCCUGCAUCGAUGCUGACUUACUGAGCAUGUGCAACAUCUAUUGUGUUCGUCAUAGAAGACGCUCCAUACAAAUGGAAGUUCUUUGUGACACCUGUAAACACAUUUAAUCUUAAACUGCUCAAACUAAGAUGGACAUUUAAUAUUGUCAUACAGACGUUAACAAUGUAAAGGUUAUAUUGUAUUUAGGAUCAAAUAUAGCUGUCUCUAGAGUAGAAAAUGUUGUGUUCAUUUGAUUGUAAAAUGUUGUAUAUUUACAGGGAUUGUUGCAAAAACAAAGCAGCUCAUACACAUCAGAGUGAAAAAUGAAAACAUGUUCACCAAAAAAAGAAAUGCCACCAAAGAAGCUUGGGAGUUCAUUAUCAAGGAAUUAGACCUUGAGGGUGUUGUGUCACCCAAGUCUCAAAGAAAUGGGAGAACAUCAAAAAGAUGUACAAGGAACUGAGAAGGCCUCCCACUGGGUCUGGAACCGACCAGGGGGAGGAAACCCCAGCCACAUGGUCAUUUUUUCUUGACAUGCAUGAGGCAAUUGGGUGCAAGUCAUCUGUAACUCCUCCUGUUCUCAUUGCCUCAUGCAUGUCAAGCCCUACUAUACUCCCAGGUCCCUCUCCCUUCAGAAUGUCCGAUUCCAGCCCCAGUGACCCCCUAACCCCAUCAGAUCCUGUUUCCCUCCCUAGCACAUCUUCAUCCUCACCUGACCCCCCCCAGCCUCCACCUGCCAAAAAGAAAUGUGUGACCACUGAGCUGCUGAUUGAUUUUUACAGAAAGAAGCGGACAAGGAAGAAGAGCGACACCAGCAGAUUACACAACAAACAGA